UGGCCUCUUUGUACAUCACAUCACCUUUAUCCAAGACCAGAUUAAGGUCAGCUGUAGUUAUGUUUUCAUUCUCAUGAAGGAAAGCAAGAAAUGUGAUUGAGUUACAUGUGCACUGACUGUUUCUGGAGUCCCCAUAUUUAGGAUGUGCCUGGCUGUGAGAUGCACAGACAUGUGCUACAGAGGGCUGGUUUUCAAGGUUCACUCUUUCUGAAUGAGAUCGUCCUGCCACAUCACUGUGAUGGCCUCUUUUCACAAUGUCAGCAUAACCCACCUGUGGGGAACUUGACACCUCAGGUUGGUCUCUACGGUUUACCCGAUGUUCAUUAAAUUCAUGCUGCAAUCCAGUCUUUACAGCAUCAGCAUAGGAUACCUGUUGUACAUGUGCAGGAACAUGUUGACCUGUCUGUUUGACACCAUCAGCAUUGGUCUUUGCAGACACACUGUCUUCUGCAGAGCCCUUAGGAAAAUCACACUCAGCUUGUUCACAUGUUGGUACACUGUGAAACUCAUGGAACUUCUUCCAGCGUUGUUUUGCAGCUUGUGACUUUUUCUGCUUCCUUGGCAUUUUUACACACCUGUGUUUCUCUUAGUCUUUAGAAAAUAUAUUCAAAAAAUAAGAGUGGCACACACCAGGAGAUGUUGUCUUUGUCUUUAUAUUUCAGUUUUUAUUUCUCAGAAACAGAUGUCUUUGUUUGUUUGUUUUUUUUUUGUCAGUCGAGAGAAUAAUAUGUACUCUCUUUAUAGGCUUGGCACAACUUAGCAGCAAGUCCAGAAUGAAAAACAGGUAGAGAGAAAAUUUAGAAGAGAGAAUAGACAGAGCAGGAGAGACACGGCUGGGAAAUCACAAUCAGACCGUGAAUUAGAGUUUUCUUUAUUUGUUCAGUUUGUUCUCAGGUAGAGGCAAUAUGCACUCUUUAUUGCUUUAAUGGCUUGGCAUUUUUCAGCAGCAAGCCAAGAGUGAAAAACAGGUAGAGAGAAAAUUUAGCAGAGAGAACAGACAGAGCAGGAGAGACACGGUUUUGAAAUCAAACCGCAAUAAGAUUCUUGGUUUGGCAAAAUUUCUCACAAACCACAGGGUGAAAUACAGAUGGAAAGAAGGCAGAGACAACAGGUGGAGCAGUACAGAGGAUAGAGGGGUUGGGGGGUUGGGAUGUGAGAGAGAAGACUGGAGAUCUGGUCCUUGUUCUUCUUCUGCACACUGUGAACAAAAAACAAGAAAAAAAAAAAUUCAUUAAAAUGAUAUCACAUGGUAAUUGUAUAAACUAAUUGUGACUACUGAAAAAGGACAAAAGAAAUAUUCAAGCUAAACUGUUGUCGGCUGCCAUGUGCAAAAAGUUGCAUAAUUGGGCACUUUUUAAAAGAAUAAAUAUUUAAUUAAAUUCAGCAAUAAUAUUUUAAAAUAUAAAUAUGAUUGAUUGA
ensembl:lncRNA